rnacentral:misc_RNA from 1 species
GGAAGGAUCAUUACCACACCUCAACCACAGUCCCUCUCCGGAGGGAUUGUCCGACCCGUGAACGAAAUAAAUAUUGGCCGACCGCAGUCAUGUUUUGCACCAAAGGCUGGGGCACAGCCGCAAGACCUCUGUCUGUUUCUAAGCCGUUUUUUUAUCCACUUCUCGUAAGUGAAUUGAUUCAAACUUAUUCUAGUCAUCUACUCGGUGACAAAAGAAAUAACGUUAAAACACUUUCAGCAACGGAUGUCUUGGCUCCCACAACGAUGAAGAACGCAGCGAAAUGCGAUACGUAAUGCGAAUUGCAGAACCUUGUGAAUCAUCAAAAUUUUGAACGCACCUUGCACUUCUGUUUACGCAGAAGUAUGUCUGUUGGAGUGUCCGUUUAUCCCUACUAUACGAUAUAUGUCGUAUAAUGCCGGUUGUUUCCUGCCUGCAGGAAACAGCUCAGAUGACGUACCCUGUGGUACUUCCCACUGCUUGGUUUACGAGAACCAUGCACGACGUGAAAUUUCAUAACGUGCAUCUCGACAACUAUUAAGAGCGUGAAAGAUGUAUCAUUUCGGACCUCCAAUCAGUCAAGAAUACCCGCUGAAUUUAAGCAUAUUAAUAAGCGGAGGAAAAGAAACUAACCAGGAUUCCCCUAGUAACGGCGAGUGAAGCGGGAAAAGCUCAGACUGAUAAUCUUCGGAAUUGUAGUCUGGAGAGGCUAAGAUUUUCCUAGUGCAGGGUGAAGUCUCCUGGAACGGAGCACCGAGGAGGGUGAAAGUCCCGUUCAUGCCUUGCACAAUGGAUUUAUAUCUGGCCUUCAAUGAGUCGAGUUGCUUGGGACUGCAGCUCUAAGUGGGUGGUAAAUUCCAUCUAAAGCUAAAUAUUGGUGGGAGACCGAUAGCGAACAAGUACCGUGAGGGAAAGAUGCAAAGAACUUUGAAAAGAGAGUGAAAGAGUACCUGAAAUUGCUGAAAAGGAACCGAUGGGAGGCAGUGUUGGUAGGCAAUUAUUUUGGUUACCCUGCGUGCGGGGGGACCGUGUGAUUGCCUGCAAGUUAGGCUUGAUUCAUAGAGUGGGAGAGGUGUCAAACCUGUUAGGGUUGUCGCUACCGUCACUCCGUGGAUUGACUCUGACGAAAUGUCUCUUAUCAACCCGUCUUGAAACACGGACCAAGGAGUCUAACAUGUAUGCGAGUGCUCGGAGUUAAACCUCCCUGCGCAUAAUUAAUGUAAAGGUGACCUAGUCACUGAGGUAGGAAGCAUUUGCUGCACUAUCGACCGACCAUGAUCCUUCGGGUGAAAGGUUUGAGUGUGAGCACACAUGUUGGGACCCGAAAGAUGGUGAACUAUGCCUGAGUAGGGCGAAGCCAGGGGAAACUCUGGUGGAGGUCCGCAGCGAUUCUAACGUGCAAAUUGAUCGUCGAACUUGGGUAUAGGGGCGAAAGACUAAUCGAACCAUCUAGUAGCUGGUUCCUCC